rnacentral:rRNA from 1 species
AUACGUAGGGUGCAAGCGUUAAUCGGAAUUACUGGGCGUAAAGCGUGCGCAGGCGGUUUUGUAAGACAGAGGUGAAAUCCCCGGGCUCAACCCGGGAACUGCCUUUGGGAAUGCAAGGCUAGAGUACGGCAGAGGGGGAUGGAAUUUCGCGUGUAGCAGGGGAAUGCGUAGAUAUGCGGAGGAACACCGAUGGCGAAGGCAAUCCCCUGGGCCUGUACUGACGCUCAUGCACGAAAGCGUGGGGAGCAAACAGGAUUAGAUACCCUGGUAGUCCACGCCCUAAACGAUGUCAACUGGUUGUUGGGUCUUCAUUGACUCAGUAACGAAGCUAACGCGUGAAGUUGACCGCCUGGGGAGUACGGCCGCAAGGUUGAAACUCAAAUGAAUUGACGGGG